rnacentral:misc_RNA from 1 species
GCUAUUAAAUAGCUCUAUAGAAUCUUGUUAUUUAGGAGUAUUAAACGUAAAUUACUGACAAAAACCUAUUCUAUAACCUCCGGGCUAUUUUUGAGACGAAUCUAACGAGGUAUAUUAAUCCAUGAUUUGCUACAAUGAUGCUACAUUAAUCAUCCGCUAACCAUGGAUUAAUAUAUCUCGUUAGAUUCAUCUCGCAAUAUAGCCUAGGGAUUAUAGAAUGGGUUUUUGUUAGUAAUCUUCGUUUAAUACUUCUUCUAAAUAGAAAGAUUCCGGAUGAUAAUUUAAUAGUU